rnacentral:lncRNA from 1 species
CCCCAGCAAAGAUCGACGCAGGAGUUACAGACGAAUCUAACAGGAACAACAGGAGGAGGAGAAGCAGUGGUUUACGGGUCUCUCUGUCUCUCUCUCUCCCUCUCUCCCUCCCUCCUUCUCUGGCUCUCUCCCCUUUAAACCAUCAGAAGCUUUGUCUCUCAAUUGAUAUAGACAAGCGUCGAAUUCACGGGUCUCUCUGUCUCUCUCUCUCCCUCUCUGACUCUCUCCCCUUUAAACUCUAUUUAUCAAUUUGCUCGAAUUCGUUAGUACAAUCUCUCUCUCCCUCCCUCUCUCCCCUUUUAUACUCUAUGAAUCUAUUUGCUCGAAUUCGUUAGUACAAUUUGUUAAUUUGCUUUUUUUUGGUGAUUGAUAGGCCCCUGUUUUCAUGUCCUGAAUUUCUUUUUUUCACCUCAUACUAAUUUACUAUCAUCACUAUGAUUUUCAUAGUUGAAGAAACUUUCUAUGCUUUUACUAUGUUUAAUGUUGGCUUUAUUAGAAAUAUAUACAAGAUAGAGAUGAUCGUGCUAAUUUUGUGUGUUUCAUGUUGUUUAGUUACACAGAGCUUCAGGUGGUUGUUCCUGAAAAUUGAGCUUUCUAUUUCCCUGUGGAGAAAUCUUAGUCGCAUUCAACUACAGGGCCAGCUAAAUGACAUAUUUGGAUCGCUUUCAGC